rnacentral:sRNA from 1 species
CUCAAAGAUGCCAAUCAGCUGCCUCCUGGGACAACUUAGCAAAGCUAUCCAAAAUCCGUGGAACCUUCUUCCCUUUUCUUUUCCCCAAAGUUAUCACGCUGUUGAACAGUUUCCUGUUCCAGGCAUUGUCCACGCAAUGAAAGUCUAAGGAUAGCCCAAGACAAGAACACGAUAUUGCAGCAGCUCACAGAAGAAGGGCUCUGGAACAAGAGGCUUCAUCCACAGUAGGAGAGCUCUGGAGAAGGAAGCCAAUCUUAUCCUGUUUGCCUUCAGAACAAGUCCUACACCAGGUGUGCCCGGAUGCUGCCAUAUUCCCGCUUUGAUGAUCUGGACUGAACCUCUGAACCUACUUGAAGGAAAGAAUUUACUCAGGACAACCAGACAAAGACUGCAAUUUAGCUCCCUUCUCUCCAAAUGGGGCUUGGCUCAAAUCCACUCUAGACCCUGGCAGUGGGUAAAAAUCUGACAAUUUCUAUACUCUAUACUCCAAAUUUAUAAAUUUAUAAAUAUUAUCCAGGAAGCCCCUACAAAUACUGAUUGAUGUGCAUCUGAUUAAAAUAAAAAGUU